rnacentral:rRNA from 1 species
GACGAACGCUGGCGGCGUGCCUAAUACAUGCAAGUCGAGCGAAGUUUUUCUGGUGCUUGCACCGGAAAAACUUAGCGGCGAACGGGUGAGUAACACGUAAAGAACCUGCCUCAUAGACUGGGACAACUAUUGGAAACGACAGCUAAUACCGGAUAACAGCAUUAACUGCAUGGUUGAUGUUUAAAAGUUGGUUUUGCUAACACUAUGAGAUGGCUUUGCGGUGCAUUAGCUAGUUGGUGGGGUAAAGGCCUACCAAGGCGACGAUGCAUAGCCGACCUGAGAGGGUGAUCGGCCACACUGGGACUGAGACACGGCCCAGACUCCUACGGGAGGCAGCAGUAGGGAAUCUUCCGCAAUGGGCGAAAGCCUGACGGAGCAACGCCGCGUGAGUGAAGAAGGAUUUCGGUUCGUAAAGCUCUGUUGUUAGGGAAGAAUGAUUGUGUAGUAACUAUACACAGUAGAGACGGUACCUAACCAGAAAGCCACGGCUAACUACGUG